rnacentral:rRNA from 1 species
GCUGUCGUCAGCUCGUGUUGUGAAAUUUUGGGUUAAGUCCCGCAACGAGCCCAACCCUUAUCCUUUUUUCCCAGCGGUUAGGCCGGGCACUCUAAGGAGACUGCCGGUGAUAAACCGGAGGAAGGUGGGGAUGACGUCAAGUCAUCAUGGCCCUUACGACCAGGGCUACACACGUGCUACAAUGGCGGGUACAAAGGGAUGCGACCUCGCGAGGGCGAGCUAAUCCCAUAAAGCCCGUCGUAGUCCGGAUUGGAGUCUGCAACUCGACUCCAUGAAGUCGGAAUCGCUAGUAAUCGGGUC